GGAGCGGGCCUUGGCUGGAGGCACUGGGUCUGCCGGAACCAGUCCUAGGCAAGCCGAGCCUUCAGUUAUCAUGGGGCGCAAGUUGGAUCCUACGAAGAAGGAGAAGCGUGGGCCCGGCCGAAAGGCUCGAAAGCAGAAGGGUGCAGAGACCGAACUGAUCAGAUUUUUGCCUGCAGCUGGUGAUGAGAAUUUCAAGAGGCUGUCCAGUCGUGCUCGGAAGAGGGCGGCCAAGAGGAGGUCAGGGUCUGUUGAAGUCCCUAAGCCAAAUAAGUCUCCUGGGAUCAAAACAUUGCCUGGAGAGUUACCCAAAGGAGCAGUCCAGGUUCGAGGUAAGAAGCGUCCAGCACCAAUUCAAAACAGUGAUGGGGAUGAGGAGGAAGACUCUGAGGAAGAAGAUGUGGUGACCCAGGGGGAACUUUGGGGCUCUGAAGACAGUAGUGAAGAUAUGGUGGACGACUAUGGAGCGGACUCGGAGGAUGAGGAGGAAAAGGUG
rnacentral:lncRNA from 1 species